CAUGGUUGAAGAGCACCAACUGAAGCUGCUGCUACUCUUGAAAGGAAGAGCACAGUGCAGGUCUGCAGGAGAGAUGAAAAAAGAACAGCAAUCAAGUGUAGCGUUACACUUGCACCUGCUGUGUUGUUGCUCUUCGCGAAACUACUGUCUUGACUCUAGACUACGCCUGGUAAUUAGUGCACUGAUAGCGACGCAAAUCCUUUCACAUUCUUUUCUCUCCCUCGACAUGAGAUGAGAAUUGAGAUACUCCAUUCAUCCAGGAAAAUAGGACCGAUUAUGGAGAAAAGACAAAAUUUAACCAACAAUUACUCAAUGUAUGUGUAAGUUUAGGAUACAACUUAUAUUAGUAGAUUUAUUAUAUUCAAUUGACUCCGAGAUUAUAUUACUAAUUUCUUUUAGAAAUUGAAAACACUCCAUUCGUUCCAAAAUAGUAGUAAUUUUAGAGAAUUAGUAGGUUCAUAUAAUUCUUGAUGCAUGUGUUUUAUAUGUGUCUAGAUUUAUUAUCAUCCAUUCUAAUAUAGAAAAAAAAUCAAAAGUUAAAAGGACUAGUAUUUUUUUGACGGAGAGAGUAUAUUAUAUGGCAGAUUAAUGGGUAAAUUCUACUCCAUCUUAAGAUAUACUCCUUCCAUUUCAAAAUACUAUUUGUUUUAGCUCUAGGUUGUAAUGUCUACAUUCAAAUAGAUAAUGAUGAAUAUAUAUAUAUAUAUAUAUAUAUAUAUAUAUAUAUAUAUAUAUAUAUAUAUAUAUAUAUAUAUAUAAAGCAUAUACAUCAACAUACAUCAAGUGUUGUAUGAAUAUAUUAAUAAUUUUAAAAUGAAUUUUAAUUUAGGACGAGUAGUUCUAAUCUUUUUUUUUCAUCUAAAAAUAUAGAUAUACAUGAUUUAUUUACUAAUAAAUAUAGUAUGUUUAAUCUAAAAUAAAUACUAUUUUGAGGCGGGUAAGUAUUAUAUAUGAGUUUUUGAUUGUCGAGGUACCUCUUGCACUUUUGGACGAAGGGUGUAGGAAACACAGGACGUAGUUUCUCCGCUUUAGAUUGUAAGGUGUGCAUAUAUGUUAAGAUUUAAAAUUUACAAUCUUUGAUCAAUAAUUUAUUAAAAAUAACUACUCUCCAUUUUAACUAUAAGAUGUUUUAGCUUUUUAGACGUAUUUUUUAUUAUAUAUUUAGACAUAAUAUAAAUACAUAAAUAAGUAACAAAAGUCAUAAAAAAACUAAAAUAUAUUAUAAUUUAGAACGGAGAUAAUAUUGCUGACAAUGGGAGGAGCAUGUGGGUUUCGCUGCAUAUAAGUCUAGAAACCCCCUACCUGCUUUUGUGCUUAUUAUGGCAUUGUUUGUUUAUUGGAGGAAACCUGGUUCAACAAUUAGGUUAAUUCUGCUCUUGUACCAAUUUUCAUUCAUACAUUUAGGCUGCCCGCAGUCGCGGACUGUGAAGCCAACUCUAAAAAUUUACAGUGAAGUGGAUGGUGCAACGAUUGACUGGAUGGCGUACUCAAUUUUAGCGUUUGCUGCCCGCAACUCUAUUCCUGGCGUUUGCUGCCCGCAACUCUAUUCACUGUGACGCUGUGUAGAGCAUGGGUGGUGAGGCCCACAGUGGGUUUGCUGCAGACGCAAAGGAGAUGGGUGGUGGGGUCCACAGUGGGUAUUUUUUAUAAAAAAAUAUGGUAGUUUGUAUAGGGUUGAGAUAUAGAGUAGUUGUGGAUGCGGAAGUUUGGCUACUGUAUUUUAAAAUAUUGAUGACUAGGAUAGAAUAUUCCUUUUAGAGUAAAAAUUUAGAGUAGAAUGAGUGCGGAUAGCCUUAGCAUGCAAUCAACACUUUCUGUGGUCCUGUCCAGGUAAGGUUGCAUUGAUCACUGUCGGGGGACUUGCAGCUGGUGCAACUGUCGGAUCGGCAGUGGAAAAUUUCCUGCAGGUUGAUAUCGUGCCCUUUCUAGGCAUCCACUCCCCUGCCGUCGUUGUCAGUGAAUUUAUUCUGUCUUCCAAUUGUUGAUAUCACUGUUUGUUAGGUAGGAUCUGAAAUCAAGCUGUCAUCCUGGCAUGUAAUUAACUGAGAUGGAUCAUGUUCAAACUUCGAAGGGUCAGGGAAAUGCUUAAGAUGGAAGUAGACGUGUAUAGCAAACAAUACAUUCACAGCUCUGCCCCUUACAAAGAUCAAUUCAAUUGUAUCUAGUUCUCUCAAUCCCAAUCCCAAUCUUUCAGAAGGAAGCUUGUAUCCAUUGCAGAAUGUAAAUUCUUGGAUUAAUACUCUAGAUCUGGAAUAUCGUAGCCUCUUGUGUUUUUUUUUCUGAGGGGUGUUUGGUUUCUAGAGACUAAUUUUUAAUAGCUCUAUUUUAGUCUCUAAAUUAGAAUUUUAGUUUAUGUAUUUGGUAGUUUAAGGAAUAAAUAUAAUAAAAUAGAAGAACUAAAAAUUAGUCCCUAAAAACCAAACACCCCUUAUAUUGAUUUUUUCCCCAAAUACACAUAGCCGAUGAGAACAUCUGUACCUCUAUGUUUUAUAAGGAACAUCUAUUGACUUUGGAUUGAGCUGAUCCCUUACUCUUGUGGAUCACUGUCCCAUGAGAUAACAAAGCCAGAUGCCGCCAGUAAAACAGCUUCACUUCGUGUCGUGUGCCGACCAGCCAGGCUGCCGCGAGCCAUCAGGAUAGCAGAAUCGGUGGACACCGUGUUGUUGUUCCUUAGAUGUCAAAUCACUGCCGCUGCUAACAAAUAAUCUAACUUUUUUUUACCUCGCUAUCAGUACACUAAUUACCAGGCGGAGUCUAGACAGUAGUUUUGCAAAGAGCAACAACACAGCAGGUGUAACUGUAACGCUACACUUGAUUGCUGUUUUUUUUUCUCUCACCACUGCAGAUCUGCACCGUGUUCUUCCUUUCAAGAGUGGUAGCAACUUCAGUAGGUGCUGUUCAGCCGUGCCGGAGCUGAGAAAGGUGCGAGGGACUUCGCAGGGACGGUGACACCGCCCCCUCGGAGAGAAACCGAGGGGCUUUUGCUCCAGCUAGCUUUGCUCAUGGCAUUCAAAUCAAGGAAUACCACGACGACCGUUAUAUCGUCGUGGAAAUGCCUUCUCACACCACGGUCGAUCUUCUUGAGGUCUGAGUAUCUCAUCUCCCUCUUCUUGGCAGCUUCUUGCAUCGCCGCUUUCACUAGUCUCCGAGCAAUUCCCUAGGGGAAAGGGAAUUACAGGUUCAGAGGAAGUGAACAAAAACGCUAGGAAAUCAAGGAUAGGUGAAACAUGCUGACAGACAGACCGUUAGAAACUUGAAGGUAUUAGGUAUGCUUAAGCUUAGCGAUCCAGAUUAUGUAACAGCUUGUAUGCCACAGGCAUUAGGUAUGCUUAAGCUUAGCAAUCCAGAUUAUGUAACAGCUUGUAUGCCAUACGUUGCGAGUUACAUCCACAUUUUAAUUAUCUAUCUAUUUCAUUCAAACGUUCCAGUUUGACUCGAAUCAUUCAACUGUAGCGGUUGAAAAGCUGAAUAUGCAAACUAUUUUAUAUAUUUCACUACUGCACAAAAAAGCAUCAUUGUAUUAAUUUAAGAGAACUGCUAUCCAUCCACAGGAUAUAUUCAUCAAAGAGCCAAUUAGAUGGAAUGGUAUCAAUGGAAUGGUAUCAAGCCUCAAAAGAAAAGUAGAUUUCAACUCAUAGAAAUUGUAGUGCGAAUCAAGAAAACAUACAUUGUGUGGACUACUUUGGACAAGGUCAACUGCUUCCUUAUUGCUGAGGUGCUCCCAUAGACCAUCAGAAGCAAAUAUAACAAAUUGAUCAUUUGGCUGUAUUCGAUGUUCAGUAAUUUGAGGUUCAGAACUAAGGAUCGGCCUCUGGAAGGUUUCUCGAAGCCGAAACUUGCUGUGAAGUGGUUCUCUGUUGUACUCUGGUUUCUUUAGAUAUACAUCUCCAAUAGAUCUUGAGAUCUGCAGAAAUGACCUCACCUCAUAAGUAAUAUCGCAUAAAGUAUGCUGACAAGACUACAUGAAUAAGAACCAACAAUAGAAACUGAGGGUGCUUGAUGGUUUUGUGAAGAAAUAAACAAUAGCAGCACUAAAUACAUCAUUGCUCCUAGAUAUGGUUGGUGCACUCACCUUCACCUUUCAUUAAAAUGAAAGGCUGAACAAUGAGGGUUAAGGGGGAGGAGUGGUAGUGAGUGGCAUAUUAUAUUGCACCACAAGUUACAUCUUAGCAUCCACAGAAAUUUUGAGAUAUAUGACAAGAAUCACACUGAUUAUUGACAGCUGAUGAUGGACCCUACGAUGACAUAACUAUAAAUCGUGCAGACAACUUUAGCUCUAGGAAUGAGAACUUACCUGAUACCUAACUUGUGAGAAAUAAUGCAUAUAUGAAAGUCAUUAUCGGUUCCCCACAAAGAGGAAAGUGGGAUUAUGACGAGAGCAAUAGAUGACAUCAAAAGUUCAAAAAAAAUCAAAGACUAAUUGGCUAGACGUGUGUACACCAUAGAGUAAAAAAUUAGCAACCUGAUCCAGAGUACAUAUUUUUGUCUACCUGGAUGAGACCCUUCACUCGCCAAACAUUGUGUUUGAGAACCACAAUAUGUGGAUCGUCAGGAUGUGAUGACUGCAGUUCUUGUCUAACUUCCUCAUAGCACGCAUUGUGCUCCGAUGACAACUGCAUGGCCACGACCUCUCCAGUUGCCUUAACAAGCCUUCCAAGAACUGCACGUGAGUCACCCAGGUUUGCAACAUAGAGAGUCCCAGCACAGAUUACACCAACAAGGCAGCAGGAGCCCACUGAAGCAAUCUGAGGCUUCAAAGACCAUUCCUUGCUGACUAGAGAAAGAAAGCCCUCCUCAGUUGCUUGGAAAGCUUUCCGGAUCACGUCCGCUGACAUAAACUUGUGCUCAGUUGCAAACCCUGGAAAACACUAAAUAGUUUUAAUACAUCAAACAGAUUAAGAAAGCUAAGAGUAAGUAAUGUUACAUACAGAGUCAAGACAGUAUAUCAGAACCAAGUUAGAUAAUUAAAUAAAUCAGUGUUUUAUUUUUCUGGGAUAACCUUAAUACAAUUCCAACUGCCAUCCUAUCCCGAUCAUCAUAUGCAAGUUUACCAAUCAGAUCUACCAAAACAAUUAUCAUUUCAAUUCUGAAGGCAAUAAGUACAAAGACACCUUUUGAGACAGAGUCAGCAUCAGCAUCAUGCUAGUAGUCAUAGAAAUGCUACCCGUAAUCAAAGCAACACAAGAAAAAGUUGGGACUUGAUAAUUGCUUCAUCAUUAGUACCUCUAAGCAGCUAAAAGAAGAGGAAUCAUAAGUAACUUUGACAUAUCGAGUCCUUACUUCUGAGAUGGUUGAAGAGGUGGUCAUUGAUGAACCGGGACGUCUCAGGACCGCCAUGGCCAUCAUAGACGCCGACGAAGGUGCCCUGCGGGCCCGGGUCAGCCAGGGAGAGCGAUCCGGACUCCACUUGGCUCUGGUCCUCAAGCAGCUGGUUGGCCUGCACCACGGCCAUGGAGAACUCCCCAGUGACGAGCUGACCGGCGUCCUUGUACCAGAGGAGACCGUCCUGCCGGCCGGCGGCGUCGGGGCCCUUCCCCCUGUGCCCGUCACCCGAUCGCGGGCCCCAGCAGGAGCUGAAAUAGUCCAUCACCGCGGCCAGCAUCCCUCAUCUCAUCGCCCUCCUCUCCACGCGGUUUCUUGACGGCAUCCUCAAGGGACCCAGGUCGCUCUUAUAGUCUUUCUCUCCGCACCGCCCUUUCAGGCUCUUCCUUCCUCCCCUGCGCAACUAAAACAACAGAUGCAAUCAAAUCAAAACGAGUUUUAAAAAAAGGCAAUAAUUUUUGUAUGCGGUUAAGCUGGUGGAUCGUAUCGUAUGCUGGGAUCCAAGAAAACUUGCGGCCAACUCAUCAUCUCGUAUGCAUCAAGCGUCGUCCAGUGUAGGCGGCAGAAACAGAUCAAGGGACAAGAGGCGACAGUUGAAUUUGAAGCUUAACAGUCGGACCUAAGACUACACGAUUACUCCAGUGGCGGUCGGACAGUUUAGCAACGGUGGACGGAUGGGGAGGGAGAAGAAAAAGGGCUCACCUUUUCCCUGAGAACUCCCCUGUCAACUUCGUGCUCGGAUUCCUGGAGUCCACCCAGCAGGUGGCUCGGAUCUGGAGAACAAUCAAAGCCCCGGCACACCAAUAGCUAGGAUUAGUUGGACUGGCGGCUGCUCUCCCGGAUCAAAGAGAAUCAAGCUAACAAGCUGGAUAAAAAAAAACUCCUUUUGCCCCCCUUGAGCUCUCUCUCUCUCUCUCUCUCUCUCUCUCUCCACUCUCCCUCCGGCAGGCAGCUCUGCCCAAUCUGCGUGUUGAAGAUCGGCUCCGAGGUCUCUACUCUCUGAUGCAGAGACUAGUAUGCGCACAGGUGAGAACAGGCGCAAAUCUAAGGAGACAAAAAAAACCCUAAUAAAAGAAGGGGGAGGAACAAUCGAGGAAGGGGAAGGGAGGGAGAGGUCAGAGCCAGCAAGGCAGGGCGCAGAGAUGGGCUCUACCAAUCCUGAUUUGUGUGUGACCACUGACCAGUGGUGUCGUAGGCCUUCGUUCGGUCCCUAAAAUCAGUUUCCACGUUGGAUUCACCCACUGCAACAAAAGCACCCUUUUUUAUUGCCUUUCUUAUUUUGAUGGUGGUGGAAGUAUUAUUUCUGUACUGCCAUAAUAAUACUUCCACAGUCAGGGCCCUUGCAAUGUACGCCAGCAUUUUCCAGAUACAGAUUGUAAGUCAUUUAAAUCAGCGACACGGUCUUAAAAUAAAGAUUUAUCUAAUAGUUUUUGUUAAAAUAUAAAUAAACUCUUAUUACAUUUAUAGCUUUGUAAAAAUACUUUUUGAGACAAAUCGAUGCAUAUGACUAUUAGAUUUCGACACUAAAUAACAAAAUGGUUAUUUGUAGUUAAUUUAAAUCUUGUCUAGAACAACUUAUAAUUUAGAUCUAGAAGGAGUAGUUCACAUACUCUUUUAACAAAUAAUAUUGUAGAAAAUCAGACGUUGGGUAACCUAUGAACUAUAUAUGUUCUUUCGACAAAUAUUGCAGAAAACCACAUACAUUCCAACAUACUCUCUUCUCUCUCCAUUUUUACACGUAUUGGUUUUAUGCAGAAUGAAAUAUUUCUAACUUUAAUCAUUGGUUUUAAAAAUAAAUAUAUUAAUAACAUAAAACUUGUGUUUUUAGAUUUACUACAAUAAAAAGAACCAGUUUCCACUGUUGUCGUGCUUCAACACUUUUGCAAUAAAACGUUAUAUUUAUUAAUAAUUAAUACGUGGUCCAACACUCCCCAUCCCGGCUCCCUCUCUCCCACGGCGACAAUAGAACCGCCAUGUCGUCGGGUCGCCCGUCCGCCUCGCGACGUCCCUAGCCUAGUGACGCGUCCCGAUGACCCCACCACUCUCUUGGCUCGAUGGGGACAUCCGCGCCGUCCUGCAUGCUCUUGGCCCUAAUAUCAACGUUGUUCUUGUUCCUCCCCUCAUUCACGCCCACCAGCGCACGCGAGGUCGCGCUGGACGAAGAGGUGGCAGAGUAUAAGUCCACCUAUGCUAUGAAGUUAACUGGGAUAGGGAUGACUGGAAAGAAAAUGAGAGGAUCCACUACAGUUGCGGGAAGGAUAGAGACAUGGAAGGGAGGGGACAUGGGGAGAGGGAACAUGCACCGACUUAGAGAGAGGGAAAUGAAACGAUAGCGGAGUAACCGGAGCCGCUUGGAACAACGUUGUGUCGAGAAAGAGGAGAUGGAAGCGAGUAAGUACACAUAAGGUAGUAAGAAUACAAUUAUUAACCUAAAUAGAUUGUACGAGUCACUCAUCAAAUAUGAUUGUGUGAUUUUUAUGACAUAUAUGACUUAUGUGUCAUGAAACUAUAUUUUAUUUAAAUGAUGGGUAAAGAUGCAAAUAGUUAAUUUAGAGCAAAAUAACGUGACAUCGAAAAAGAACCGAGGGGUAAUAUUCAGAAAAAGUGGGUCCUGCUAGACUGCUAGUUAGUGUUAUUGUUAUAGUUCGAAAUGAUGAGCUUUUAUUUCUCUUAUAACACUUCUCAUGACUUGGGAUCUUUCAGUCUUUUUUAUAAGCUAGGACGAUUUGACGAAGGCAAGCAGGCAGCAGCGAAGUAAUAAAGGUUAUAUAAAGCGCUUGGCACGGCCACGCCGGUGAGCUGCAUGGCGUCGGUGAGCACCGGGGGGCGCGUCGUGCCGGUCUCGCCGGGGGGGUCAAGUGGGGGUGCGCGAAGAAAGGGUCUGGCCGUCUGGGAGAAAAUGUGUGGGAUUUUGAUUUGAUGGCGAGAGCGACCAGGUUAGGUCGUGACAGUGCGGAGUGGUCCAGCUUCCAACGCCGAGCCCGACCCCGGCACUAGCUAGCUAGUCCAACCCAGCUCGCGCCUCUCUCUGGGACUGGGAGCCUCGUCUCGUGCAUGGCGGCCCCAUCAGCGCGGACGAAUGCCUGGCUGUCCUGGCCUAAUUAAUCGCGCAACUAGCCGACUAGUAUGCGCCUGUCGGGUGGGGCUGCCGGGGGUUGCUGGGGGUGGACUGGUGGUGGCAUUUCCUUUCGCUCCGCGCCAGGCCCGGCCAAUCUCCAAUCACCCACCCGUAGCGUAGUGCGCCCGCGGGGUCGCACGGACCGGCACCGUGUCGUAUCUGCAUGCGCAACGGGACAGGCCCUCGGAGGCCCGCCUGCCGCCUCUACUGGCCUGGCCACCCCGCCAGCCUGACCGGCGAACCCGCCGACCAGUCACAACUCACGUAGUACGUACGUGGGGCUCGCUCGCUCAGUCGGCAGUCGCUCUCGUCCGGCCAUGUAAAACGUGCGUGCGUUGGAGAGUAGUAGUAGAGACGACUGCGGGUGCGGGACAGGGCGGCGGGCGCGCAUGCAUGCGAGAUGUUCCGGCCGGUUCCUUCCUCGGCCACUGGAGCUGGACCCGGCCUGUGCCCUCUCUGUGUCUUGUUGCCAGCAGGUGUCCAGUGGCCUAGAUGGACGGAUAUGCAUGGGUCCUGCUGUCUGUCGUCCUCCUAGUCGCCAGGGACGCUGGCCGGCCGCCGGCCGAGGUGCAGUGCAAGGCUGGAACGGCGGACGACGCUGCUGCAGUGCGGAGAGAAAACCCAGCCGAGCAGAGCACGCGCUCAAGCUCAAGUAACACCGCCUCCGAGCACCAGCUUGCAAACAGAAUCGGACAGUGACGCGUGACGACCGGCCGGCUCGUCCUUGCCGCUGCCGCGCGCCACCGUCCAUAUAUAGGCCGUUGUACUGUGUACGAGUAUGCGUGUGCGUGUCAACUGUGUGGAGUCUAUGAAUAGAGGAGCAGUACUGUGUUAGGCGCUGCCUGCCUAUAGAGCUACUGCACAGUAGUAGAGUGAGUCUACAGAACAUAUUCAUGCCCGAUCACCGUGUGUUGUCACCAGCAGAGAAGUCCGUCCGGCCAAACCGCACGGGACGACGACGACGACACUAUGCGCUCGCCUCGAAUGUCGUGGCGUGGUCCGUCCGGUGGUCGCGCUCCCCUUCCGUUGGUUGCGUUGCGGCAAUGCCAGGCUGGAUCGUCCGGGCCGACGAGUACAGCGUUGCAUUGCAUGCGAUCGUCGCGCGCCGUCCACCCCGGCCACCACCUCACGUAGCAGCAGAGCAGACCCAGGCGCAUGCAGCUAGCUCGAGCUGCGCUGCGGACAACGUACACAGGCACAGCACGUCAGCUGCGGGAUGGGCACGCGCGGUGUGCUGGCUUCAGCUAGCGUGUGAUGAGAAAGAAGCAGCAAGCUAGGGGCUGGUCUUUCCUCUCCUUUCCGACAGCUCUUGUGCCUUCCCUUGCAUGAUUGCAUCAUCCCCUGUCGACUUGCCGCGGAGGCGGAGCGCUUUUCUGCCGACUUUGCCGUCGAACGAUGACGAUGAUCGACGCUAGUAGAAAAAAAGACAACUCUAAGCAUUACGGUGAGAUUUAAUUUUUACGGACGGUUUCGAUAUAUCAAGAGUCAGUGUUAUUUCUAGUUAUGAUUUCUUAAGAAAGCCGUCUAUAGAAAUCAUAUUUCUAUGUACGAUUCCUUUACAAUAAUGCCACAAAAAUCAUUUUUAUCCUAAUUUUUUGAGUUUUUUUAAGGGAAAUUUGGAUCCAUACCAUUAAAAGAUCACCACUUUGGAUCCAUACCAUUACUAUCUCACUUACAUGUGGGUCCACAUGAGUCAAUGACAUGUGGGGUCCAUGGUAUAUAUCUAAAGUUUAGAUCUUUUAAUGGUAUAGAUCCAAUUGUUCCUUUUUUUAAAUGACCUCGUAUGAAAAAACACUAACAUAAAAAAUAUAGAUCUCUAAAAAUUAUACAUUUUUGUAGAUGAAAACUAUUUUUGCUCUCAAAAACUACAUCAAACUUGCCAAAUUUAAAAUGCAAAUUUUGCAAAUGACCUCGGAUGAGAAAAGUACCAAACUAAGUUGUAAAACUUUAAGUGUUAUGAAACUUUGUAGUUGAAAACUUUUUCGUUUGAAUUCGUUUACAUCUUUAAAUAGUCAAUUUAUACUUGGAUUAAUUUAAUAUAUGGACAACAAAACUGCAACAUAGACACGAUGUAAGUGAUAGGUAGAGCGACAGAGGAGGCUACAUGCGAGGGUGAGGUAGAGAGUUCGAUUCCCACUGGCGUGUUUAGCACGCGAAAAAUGUCGUGACUUGCGACUUCGAUGGAGAUGAGCGGACGAGGACCUAGAUGAGGUCUCCCCUAAUUAAAAUAUUUUUAUUUUUAAAACUCCUUUUAUGUUUCCUGGAAAAAAUUUUCACUUGUAGUUUUAUUACCUUGACCAUCAGUGGAAAUCGAAUUCUAUUGACGAGUUUUUAGCCUAACCGCCAGUGCAAAUUGAUUUCCACAUACGUAAGUAAUAAAACCACAAGUAAAAAUAUUUUCUAGAAAACAUAAAAUGAGUUUUAAAAAUAAAAAAUAUUUUAAUCAGGUGAGGCCUCAUCCAGUCCCUCGCCCGCCGACCGCUAGUGGAAAUUUCACUGGCGGUUCUCAGUUUAUUAUCUGUACAAAUAAUUAUUUCUACUGAUCCUUAGCAUGGACGGUUCUGAAAAACGCCUAUGCAAAUAGGUUUCACAGUUGCCUCUAUAGAGAUUCUCUGAAUUAGUGUGAUGUACUAUACGCCAGCAGCAGCACCAGCUUAAGACUAACUGCAAUGGUGCACUCUACACCCUCCCUCCCCUAUUACUAUUCAUGCGCUAAGGGCAACAGUUGCCCUCUACCACCUGCAACGGCCAGCUCUACUGAGCCCCCUAUCGCGCGGUCCCCUUCUCUCUCCCCCUCAAUCUAGGGGUUCACUGUUCAUCCCCUACGACACUGUGAUGUGGGUCCACGAGUAAUUGUUAGUAGAUAAAAAAUUGAUAGUAGAUAUAGAAAAUGAUAUUUUAUAGUUGUAGUGGGGUAUAGGGGAAGUAUUUAGGGGGAACCGCUGCGGGAGAUGAAAAAAUAGAGGGUGAAAUGUUGAUGAUGUGACGCAAAAAAAUAAUAUAGGGGGAAAAAUUUAGAGGGAACCGCUGCGGAUAGCCUAACAGCUGCCUCGCUAGUUGAUGCCAUCAUUCAUCGAUCCAUGGCCUGACGCAUGCCCUUUCCACACUCGGCAACGACGCAUGCAUGGAUGCAGUGGUGCUGCAUGGCGGCAAGAGCCAAUGACACGCCGUCGUCCUUAGCGCUCUUGCUUCGGUCUCGGUGGCUGCCACGCAGAUCAUUGUGCGUUAUGUGCUUACGACGCGGUGUUAAGCGAUCGACCUGCGCGAGCCUCGGCCGCCGGCCGCCAUUGGUGUGGAGCAAGGGAUUCUUCUCUAUUUCUUCCCUUCUCUCCCUAUCACGGGGUGGCCAACGCGCCAGCCAGAAUCGCUCACAACAAAUAAACACGGAGGUAGAAGAUAGACAGUAGAUUUAGAUAAUCAACGCGUCGCCGAAAUCAUCUGUAUUUUAGCCAAAAAAGUGACUAACUGAUUGCACAAUGGUAACUUGGCCGAGCACACCAGGAAACCUAGGUGCUGGUCUCUAUUUAUAUCAAUGAUAGACAGUUAAAACUUAGCGAGAAAGUAGAAAUAAAUAAGAACAAAUAGGUACAUAAAAGAUAAUACGUAGUUGCGCAGCUCUAAUCUCCUACUAUCUAGAUAAUAUAGUUUCUAUCUUUAACAACAUCUUCUCAAUCUGGACGCAGAUCGUUUCGAAAAAUAUUAAAGGACGUAGCAGAUAGAGCAUGGGUCAUAAUGUCUGCGACUUGGUCCUUUAUAGAGAUAACCCGCACAUCCAGUUGUCACGUAGCAACACUUUCACGAACAAGAUGAUAAUCGACCUUAACAUGUUUGGAUCUUCGAUGAAAAAUCGGAUUGGCACAUAAAUAUAUGGCACCAAUAUUGUCACACCAUAACACGACCGCUCGAGGUUUUGAAAUUCCUAGUUCUUGCAACAAGACUCGGAGCUAGAUGAGCUCUGUUAUAGUAUCUGCAACAGCAUUUCAUUCAGCCUCUGUAUUGGACCUCGAAACUAUAGGGUUGUUUGCGUGAACUCCAGGAAAUAAGAUUAGCACCAAGAUAGAUGACAUAUCCUCCUAUGGUGCACCUAUCAUCUGGAUUCACCGCCCAAUCAGCGUCGGAAAAAGCACAAAGAUGUAAUGAAGUAUGCUUCACAAGACUCGUCCCCAUAUGUAUUGUACUGUGAAGAUAUAUGAGUAUCCGUUUGACAGUCAUCCAAUGAUCACUAGUAGGUGGCGCCACAAAAUGACACACACGAUUGACGGAAAAAGCAACCAUAUUAAGUUGCAUGUGUCAACCAAUUCAAUCCAAAAGCUUAAGUUGAUAGAAAGAUAUGAGAAAUUCACUUAUAUUAUAUUCCAACAUCCCCUAUAGUCGAGCCUCUCUUGGGCCUUAGACAUGGAAUAGGAGCAGACAACAAUUAUUUUAUUUUAAUUACGCUAAUCAGUAUUCAAACUCAUGAACUUUGGCUCUGAUACCAUGAUAACUUGGUCGAACACACUAGGAAACCCAGGUGUCAGGCUCUAUUUAUACCAAUGAUAACUUGGAAUAGGAGCGAACAACAAUUAUUUUAUUUUAAUUGCGCUAAUCAGUAUUCAAACUCAUGAACUUUGGCUCUGAUACCAUGAUAACUUGGCCGACCCACUUUAGCAAGUCACCCUUAACUAGUCUAGCUUAGCCGUGAGCGUCGACACGUGGGCCCCGGAUGUUAGUCUCCUUACGCGUGGUGUGGACAUUGUCAAGUGGGGCCUAUCCACCAGUGGCUUAUCCGUGCCUGCCUCUCGUUACUACCACCACCAAGUGGGACCCAAACAUCGAGUUCUUCUCCUCCACGGAGUUGGCCAGCAUGGUUGUUGCAAUCCGUCUAAGUUUGUUGAGAUUUUGUUAUCCGUCUGAGUUUGUUGAGAUUUUGUUGGAUCGGUCCUGCCCUGCAUCUUUUAAUCGUAACUCCGAUUUUAAUGAUUCCCGAACCUACGAUCUUGUAGCAACGUGUAGAAUAAGAUUACGUUGUUUGUUCUUAUGCUUUGGUGUAAUGUUGUUAUAUUCAUUUUUUUGCUUGAUUGUAUGUAUUGCUACGAGUAGAGACGAGGGGACGAGGAAUUUGAAUCCCAACUUUUGGGUCAACAUCUGUAGUACAAAGUUAUCACAAGUAAAAGACAAGUUGUGUCCUUGAUUACUCUUCUUUACCUAAUAAUGUUCAUGUUAAUCACUGUGACAUGCUCAGGUUAAUUUGAUGGGACCUAACAGAUUACCCUAGUUUUGUUCACCUCACACCUUGCAAACAAAUGAACUAUCGGGUAGGCUUGCUAUUGCUCUACCUGGUUUUGAGAUUAAUGUUAUAUAUGAAUUAUGACCAUGUUCCAUUAUUACUGUUGGUUUAAUUAUUGUUCAUGAUAAGAUUAUUGUGUUAAUUGGAACAUGAAGAACCACCCGGGAAAACAGUGCUACCACAAGGGUGGUAUGAGACAUUCUUGGCUGACUAAUUAGGAAAGCUAGUGGAGGACUACCUUACCCAGAAGGGGCAAGGGCGGUAGAGGAGCUACCGGUAUAGUGAGGUUCUCGGGUCGAUCAUGGUGCGAUGGCUUUUCGGACGAGGGAUUUCUAUAUCGCCCUUCUCAGAAACCGUAGCGGGUUUUCUGAAGCUAGUGGAACUUUGUAAAGGCCUCGUAGUGCUACCAUGCCUCGCCUCCUUGGUAGAGGUGUAUGUGAUUCAUGACCCCAUGGCCGAUGGUAUCAUGGCUUGUGGGUAAAGAUGCGCAGCCUCUGCAGAGUGUAAAACUGGUAUAUGAGCCAUGCUCAUGACCAAGAGCAGAUCGGUCACUCAGAUGAGUAAUUUAUGGAAUUAAAAUUGAUCUAUCAUUUGUGUUUCAUUGUGGAAUUUAUUAUUAUUUGCGAUCUCUUAUUUAAUUGAGAUGACAUCUAAUUAUACUUAGUAACUGCUAAUUUUUUUUGACCAACUUAUUAAAAGCGAUGCUCAACCUUAACCAUCUUCUUUCUUAAGCCUUACACUUCACAUGAGCUCUCACUGUAAGUGAGCUCAUACACAUUAUUCCCCACAACUUGUUGAGCGAUGAACAUAUGUGAGAUCACCCUUGUUAUACUCACCUUAGGUCAAGGACAGAUACCGUAAAAUAAGGAGCAUGAAGGAUGCCACAAUAAGUUCAUGAGAGGUCUAAGCCGCCGUCUCCCAAUAAAUAUGUUUGCGGAGGAUCAUUGUCUUCCUAUGAUGUAAUUAUUUAGCUAUUUUGUACAGAACUCAUAUUAUAUAGUAAAUAUGUGACAUUUAUUUAUGUACUAUGAGUUAUCAUAUGUGCGAGACUUAAUUGUAACACAUAUUUGAGACACGUCCAGACUUACCCUUAAAUUCGGAUGUGUUAGUCAUUUCUCAGCCUACAGUGUUGUUCUAUCGUGACACGAUUGUGUUGUUUUUUCAAACUAUUAGUAUAUAUAUUUAUAAUAUUUAUUGUUCAUAUAUCACAAACAAACGUCAGCUUCAUUAGUUCGGAGGCGCCAUUUCUUGCCCAACGACCACGGUUUGACUCCUUCAAGCGCUCUAUUUUUGUUCCAAUUUAUUUCGCUGACUUCACGCUUUAAAUCCCUUUACACACCUCCCCCGUACCCGAGUUAGGGUACGCCAAACUAGAAACUAUGUUAUAGUUCUUUAAACCUUAGAUACCUCUAAAAAUUUGUUCAUACAUCCUAACGUAUCUAAGCCUUAUAUUUUAUUUACUAGAAUCUUUUAAGAUACAACUUAUUUAUUAGGUUGUACUACUUCUGUUUGUUUAUAUAUGACUCUGGUCAAUUUAACCUUAAACUAAGGAGCAUCAUAUAAAAAAACUCGGAUCAUAUCUAAACUUAGAGAACCGUGUUAGAGAUAUUUCUUCGCCAACCUAGGUCUUUUGUUUUUAUACUUAUCCCUUAGAUACCGUUUAGGAUCCCUUUAAACUAUUUGGGUAUACCUGUACAUUUUAGGAGGCUGUCGAAUACAGACUGGGAAUGGAUUGAGGAACACUUUGAAAAAAAGAUUGAGUAGUUAGAAAGGUAAGCACCUUUUUGUCGGGGGUGUCUUACUCAGUUUUGAAUAGCCUAUCUAUGUACAUGAUGUCUUUCUUUGCGAUUCCUAUAGGAGUACUUAAGAGACUUGACUACUUCCGCUCUAGGUUCUUUUAGCAAAGUGAUGGUAAAAAACCGAAGCAUCGUCUAGCCAAAUGGAACAUUUUGUGCCAACCCAGAAUGUCAAUCUCCUUGAUUCAGAAUGAUGUCUCAAACUUAAACAAAAUAUUAUGGAAGCUUAAAACUCCACUAAAAAUUAAGAUCUUUUUUGGUAUUUACGUCGAGGAAUAGUCUUGACAAAAGAUAACUUGGCCAAUUUAGCAGUAAAGUUUGUUGUUUUUGUCACAAAUAUGAAACGACUAAUCAUUUAUUUUAUGAAUGUCACUUUGCUUGAUCUGUGUGGUUCAUCAUUUAUGCUGCUUCUGGGUUUUCCAGGCCUCGUAGUGUUUCUCACAUGUUCGGGUCUCGGUUGUGGGGCAUUGGAAAAGACAAAAAGCAACUAGUCCUGUUAGGGGCGAGUGCUACUUGCUGGUCGUUAUAGCUUUGCAGCGACCAACUUCACAAGACAUGGUUGUUGCGGCAUCUCAACACUUGAUGCUAGUGGCCAAUGAUUUUUUAUUCAGGCACAUAGGUGUCAGUCUAGCCUUAGGAUCGAUUUUCAUCAGUGAUUGAGUUGUACCAAGUGGUAUUUUCCUUUUUUAGGUUGUGUGCAUUCCGUUAUGGAGAGGAAGAAAGUGUUUUCAAGAUUUUGUAUCACCUUGAUGUAUGGACUUGAAAAUUCAAUAAAGUUUCAUUUAUCGAAAACAGUUAUCUAUGUGGUUGUACAUAUCAUUAGGGUGCGUUUAAAAGUAAGGGUAAUGAAAAUGACUGAGGGGACUAUUCACUAUUUAAAAUUGAAUAGUGAGAUAUUCUUAUAGUAAAGGAUUUUAGCGAUCCUUCAAUUACCCUUUCUCCUAAACAAGCUCUAACAAUUAGGGAUGAAAACGGUCGGAAUCGGUCGGUAAACACUAAAACCAUUAUCGUUUUCAUAAUUUUUAUCGGAAACCAAAUCGAAAACGGUAACUCCGGAAACGGAAACGAUAUCGGUAUUUCGGAAACAUCGGAAACGAAAGUUUGGUGCGGAAAAUACACCGGUAACGGUCGAAAUCUAAAAUACGAUAGGUAAACAUAUCAAACUUCAUAAUACAACAAAGUUGACAAAAGAUAACAAAGACCACAAGUUCACAAUUCAUGAUAUAAUAAGUUCACAAGGAUCACAAAUUUAUAAUAUAAAAAGUUUACAAAGAUCACAAGUUCACAAUAUAACAAGUUCAUAAAGAUCACAAGUUCACAGACUCAAAGUUCACAAUUCACAAUAUCCACUCGAUCUAGCCGAAAUGACAUGCUUACUUAUGAGAUAUUUUUUCCUCACAUAAAGAGUUUUUCACAACCUCACAGAAAAACCCUAAAACCUAGUGUGUGGAAAAGACCAAAUUAUUAAUCUCAACUGCCUUCCAAUACCAUCUAUCCCAAAAAAAUCUUAAGCCGUCCAAAAAAUACAAAAAAAUAAUCCUUAUCUAGAGACGUACAGGUGAUGCGAAAAAUUACAUGCUGGAAAAUUCCGAGACACAAAUCCGGUAAUUUCCGACAAAAACCGGUAACCGAAGGAAACGGUCGGUAAAACACCACGCUGAUUUCGAUACCGAUUCCGAUAGAAAAUUCCGAAAAUCGAUUCCGUUUUCGAAAAAUACCGUUACCGAUGAAUCCGAUCGAAAAAUUUCGAAAUCGGUUUCCGGAAUACCGAAAAAUUCCGAAACCGUUUUCAUCCCUACUAACAAUCUCUUAAAAGAUCUAAGUUUUCAAAGUAUUAAGGGGGUGUUUGAAUGUAAUAGAGCUAAUAAUUAGUUGGCUAAAAAAAUACUAGUGAAAUUAGCUAACUAAUAAAUAGAUAGCUAAAUAUUAACUAAUUUAUUAAAAAUAGCUAAUUGCUAAACUAGUAUUUAGGAUGUUUGGAUGUCUCUAACUAAUUUUAAUAUAAACUAUUAACUUUAAUGUAUUCAAACACCUCGUAAGAUUAUCUUAAUUAAAUUAUACCUAUAGCCGUAUAAAAUAAAUACAAGGAAGUUUGAAAUAAAAAAUGCGAUGAUGUUAAGGUAGAGACAGCGGCGUGCCUCGGAGAAAGCUUGAGUGCAUACUAGUCUCUGCAUCAGAGUAGUGGCCUCCGAGCUGCUCUUCAACACACAGAUUCGGCAGAGCCUGCCGAGAGAGAGUGAAAAGAGAGGGAGCGCGCUCAAGGUGUGGCGCAAGGAGAUUUUUCUUUUAUCCAGCUUCUUAGCAUGAUUCUCUUUGAUCCCGGAGAGCAGCCACCGGUCCAACUAGUCCUUGCUGUUGGUCUGCCGGAACUUUUGAUUGCUCUCCAGAUCUGAGGCACCUGCUGGGUGGAUUCCAGGAACCCGAGCACGAAGUUGACAGGUGAGUUCUCAGGGAAAAAGGUGAGCCCCUUUUUUUCUCUCCCUCCCCAUCCGUCCACCAUUGCCAAACUGUCCGUCCGCCUACACUGGACGAACAAUAGUAAUCGUGUAGUCUUAGCUCCGAUUGUUAAGCUUCAACUGUUACCUAUUGUCCCUUGAUCUGUUUCUGCCGCCUACACUGGACGACGCUUCAUGCAUACGAGAUGAUGAGUUGGCCGCAAGUUUUCUUUGAUCCCAGCAUAGGAUCCACCAGCUCACGCGCACACAAAAACUAUUGACUUUUUAACUCGCUUUGGUUUUAUUGGAUCUGUUGUUUCGGUUGCGCAGGGGAGGAAGGAAGAGGCUGAAAGGGCGGUGGAGAGAGAAAGACUAUAAGGGCGAGCUGAGUCCCUUGAGGAUGCCGUCAAGAAACCGCGUGGAGAGGAGGGCGAUGAGAUGAGGGAUGCUGGCCGCGGUGAUGGACUACUUCAGCUCCUGCUGGGGCCCGCGAUCGGGCGCCGGGCACCGGGGCAAGGGCUCCGACGCCGCCGGCCGGCAGGACGGUCUCCUCUGGUACAAGGACGCCGGCCAGCUCGUCACUGGGGAGUUCUCCAUGGCCGUGGUGCAGGCCAACCAGCUCCUCGAGGACCAGAGCCAAGUAGAGUCCGGAUCGCUCUCCCUGGCUGACCCGGGCCCACAGGGCACCUUCGUCGGCGUCUAUGAUGGCCAUGGCGGCCCGGAGACGUCCCGGUUCAUCAAUGACCACCUCUUCAACCAUCUCAGAAGUAAGGACUCGAUAUGUCAAAGUUACCGCUGAUGAUUCCUCUUUUUUUUAGCUUAGGGCUUGUUUGGGAGUAAAGUAUUUUUACAGUUUUUAGACAAUACCAUGUUUUUUUAGUAAUGCCAUAAGUUGUUUGGUUGCAUUCCUGAAAACUAUGUUUUCAAAACCAUGGUAUUCUAGAUACCAUUGUGUUUUUUUGGAGUAUUGGAAACUCCAACCCAAAGUUUUCAUGACAUUAUGACUAUGUCUAAUACCAUGAUUUACAAUGUUUUAUCCAAAUAAUGUUUCUAAAAAACAUGGUAUUUUUAGCUGGCCAAAACUACGGUAUUGUCAGACAAUUGCAAAGUAUAUGCAAAGUAUAGUAUUGUAAAACCAUAGUUUUGAGAAACAUUGUUGCCUAACAGGCCCUUAGUUUUAGAGAUACUUGAAAGAUUGAGUAUAAUGCGGGAUUUAGAGUUACUUGAAAGAAUGAGUAUAAUGCGGGGGAUGUAUUGCAUUGAGCCUUUAAGGUGAAUAUAUAGGAGUACAUGACUUGGAGGGCAAACAGUCUAUCCUAGAGAUAAGGAAGGUUAUCCUGAGAUUACAAUCAACACUAAACUAAUCAUAUCUUGAGUUGUCUAAUAUACUCUAACAUCCCCCGCAGUCAUAGCGGUAGCAACACGAACUGACAAACUGGUUAACAAUGGAGAUCCCCUCCCCCCCUCCCCCGUAGUCGGAACGCGGUGCGAAUGCUUCGGCUGGAGUAGCCCAUACAAAUGGUAGCCCCUUAGUGCCGAAGUAGCAGAGGUGGAGGUGGACGUGGUCGAAGCCGUGGAGGAGGGCACAGAUCCUAAGUGUCAACGAAGGCACAUGAGUGCACAAAAUCAGCAACUUCUUGCCAGGCAUGUUUAGUGGGACGAUGAACCGGCUGGAUGGCGAUGGAGAUGGUGCAGCUAAAGAGUGCAACUUGUCUUCCUUCAGCAACAUCGGAGGCGGUGUCCGCGAGCUUGCGGCGAUGAGCGCGGACUCGGAUCGAUGGUCAGCGUGAUGAGGACCGGCAACACGGAUGGCGCCACCGCCUAAAGAAGGUGGCGACACCGGCAGUGGUGGCUUGAAGCCUUGAACAUGAGUGUCGACGCUACAGCCGGGAGGCGCAGCGACAACCUCGUCUCGGGAGUGUCGACGACGAUGCGGCGACUAACGGCAGUGCGACGCAAAUCAAUCUUACAUCGGGAAAACAACAGUAGACAGUCAAAAACCUUCGGGGUACAAUCUCGACUGCACCUAGCUGGCCCCCUACCACCUCAUAUCCUUGUCUCUUCCUGUCGGUGGAUAGAGAGAAAAUGAGAAAGUGGGAACAAAGGGGCGAGGCCCGCCCGCAUGACAUAGCUUGAUGGGGUGGCGUGCAGCUCGAGUGGCACCUCUACUCUGGCCACACGGGCCACUUUUUUAAAGGUGUCGCCUAGGCGUCCAGGUGCCCAAAAAAAUUCUAGGUACCUUGCUCGCCUAGUCGUCCAGACGGCGGUCUAACGCCUUGUCUCGCCAUACAACUUUAAGAACCAUGCAGACGGCAACCCGACGAAGCGACGACCCCAACAAGCCCCCCUCGCAGUUGCGACCUCGCGCUUGACGGCAGCGGCAGAGCGGCGAUGAGCUGAUGAGGAAGGAGGGGAGCAGGCCCGACGUUGGCGCAUAGGAGAGGACCAACAACGUCCACAUGGCAGUGUGGUGCCUGACGAGGACUGCGAGUGGCGCUGCCAUGUGUCGGCCACGAGAAGAGGUAGACCCCAUUGCUGCUUCUUGACCACGACGGGCACGAUGGAUCAGAAGGAUCGUCCGCGCAUCCUAUGAGGGCGCUGCCCCGAUGAAGAUCUAUCUCCCCGAGGGCGGCAUGAGGGCAACAAAAGCCGGAGGUCUUGGGUUUCAACCUAGACUCGCAUUACCAUUAAAGAUUGGGUAUAAUGCGUGGGAUAUAUUGCAUUGAGGCUCUAAGGUGAAUAUAUAGGAGUACAUGGCUUGGAGGGCAAGCAACUUAUCCUAGGGAUAAAGGUUAUCAUGGGAUUACAAUCAAUCCUAAACUAACCAUAUCCAGAGUUGUCUAAUAUACUCUAACAGUUCUGAUGAUGAAGCAAUGAAUCAAUGAUCAAAGUCCCAACUUUUUCUUGUGUUGCUUUGAUUAUAGGUGUCAUUUCUAUGACUAUUAGCAUGAUGGUGAUGUUGACUCUGUUUCAAAAAGUGUCUUUGUACUUAUUGCCUUCAGAAUUGAAAUGAUAAUUGGUUUGGUAGAUCUGAUUGUAAACAUGCAUAUGAUGAUCGGGUAGGAUGGCAAUUGGACUUGUAUUAAGGUUAUCCCAGAAAAAUAAAACACUGAUUUAUUUAAUUAUCUAGCUUGUUACAUUACUACUCUUAGCUUUCUUAAUCUGUUCGGUGUAUUAAAACUAUUUAGUGUUUUCCAGGGUUUGCAACUGAGCACAAGUUUAUGUCAGCGGACGUGAUCCGGAAAGCUUUCCAAGCAACUGAGGAGGGCUUUCUUUCUCUAGUCAGCAAGGAAUGGUCUUUGAAGCCUCAGAUUGCUUCAGUGGGCUCCUGCUGCCUUGUUGGUGUAAUCUGUGCUGGGACUCUCUAUGUUGCAAACGUGGGCGACUCACGUGCAGUUCUUGGAAGGCUUGUUAAGGCAACUGGAGAGGUUGUGGCCAUGCAGUUGUCAUCGGAGCACAAUGCGUGCUAUGAGGAAGUUAGACAAGAACUGCAGUCAUCACAUCCUGACGAUCCACAUAUUGUGGUUCUCAAACACAAUGUUUGGCGAGUGAAGGGUCUCAUCCAGGUAGACAAAAAUAUGUACUCUGGAUCAGAUUGCUAAUUUGUUACUCUAUGGUGUACACACGUCUAGCCAAUUAGUCUUUGAUUUUUAUUUUAUUUUUAUGUCAUCUAUUGCUCUUGUCAUAGUCCCACUUUCCUCUUUGUGGGGAACGGAUAAUGACUUUUAUACGUGCAUUAUUUCUCAUAAGUUAGGUAUCAGGUAAGUUCUCAUUUCUAGAGCUAAAGUUGUCUGCACACUUUAUAGUUAUGUCAUCAUAGGGUCCAUCAUCAGCUGUCAAUAAUCAGUGUGAUACUUCAUACUUGUCAUAUACCUCAAAAUUUAUGUGGAUGCUAAGAUGUAACUUGUGGUGCAAUAUACUAUGCUACUCGCUAACACUAUCACUCCUCCCCCUUAACCCUCAUUGUGCAGCCUUUCACUUUAAUGAAAGGUGAAGGUGAGUGCACCAACCAUAUCUAGGAGCAAUGAUGUAUUUAGUGCUGCUAUUGUUUAUUUCUUCACAAAACCAUCAAGCUAGCUUGCACCCUCAGUAGUCUUGUCAGCAUACUUUAUGUGAUAUUAUUUAUGAGGUGAGGUCAUUUCUGCAGAUCUCAAGAUCUAUUGGAGAUGUAUAUCUAAAGAAACCAGAGUACAACAGAGAACCACUUCACAGCAAGUUUCGGCUUCGAGAAACCUUCCAGAGGCCGAUCCUUAGUUCUGAACCUCAAAUUACUGAACAUCGAAUACAGCCGAACGAUCAAUUUGUUAUAUUUGCUUCUGAUGGUCUAUGGGAGCACCUCAGCAAUAAGGAAGCAGUUGACCUUGUCCAAAGUAGUCCCCGAAAUGUAUGUUUUCUUCUCUGGCACUACAAUUUCUAUGAGUUGAAAUCCACUUUUCUUUUGAGGCUUGAUACCAUUCCAUCUAAUUGGCUCUUUGAUGAAUAUAUCCUGUGUAUGGAUAGCAGUUCUUUUAAAUUGAUAGAAUGAUGUUUUUUUUGUGCAGUAGUGAAAUAUAUAAAAUAGUUUGCAGAUUCGGCUUUUCUACCGCUACAGUUGAAUGAAUCGAGUCAAACUGGAACGUUUGAAUGAAAUAGAUAAUUAAAAUGUGGAUGUAACUCGCAACGUAUGGCAUACAAGCUAUUACAUAAUCUGGAUCGCUAAGCUUAAGCAUACCUAAUGCCUGUGAAAGUAUAGUUGAUUUGGACAAUUUCACAACGCUUGAUUGUUCUGUGCUGUUAAACAUACCCUUCAGUGAUUUGACUAGUUUGUUCUUAGUCACUAUCGCAUUAUAAUACCUUAAAGUUUCGGUUUUUUAAGGUGGCGCCCUUAAAGUUUCUAACCGUCUGUCUGUCAGCAUGUUUCCCAUAUCCUUGAUUUUCUAGUGUUCGUUUAUUCACUUCCUCUGAACCUGUAAUUCCCUUUCCCCUCAGGGAAUCGCUCGGAGGCUAGUGAAAGCCGCGAUGCAAGAAGCUGCCAAGAAGAGGGAGAUGAGAUACUCAGACCUCAAGAAGAUCGACCGUGGUGUGAGAAGGCAUUUCCACGACGAUAUAACUGUCGUCGUGGUAUUCCUCGAUUCGGAUGCCAUGAGCAAAGCUAGCUGGAGCAAAAGCCCCUCGGUUUCUCUCCGAGGGGGCGGUGUCGCCCUCCCUGCGAAGUCCCUCGCACCUUUCUCAGCUCCGGCACGGCUGAACAGCACCUACUGAAGUUGCUACCACUCUUGAAAGGAAGAACACAGUGCAGAUCUGCAGUGGUGAGAGAGAGAGAAAACAGCAACCAAGUGUAGCGUUACAGUUACACCUGCUGUGUUGUUGCUCUUUGCAAAACUACUGUCUAGACUCCGCCUGGUAAUUAGUGUACUGAUAGCGAGGUAAAAAAGUUAGAUUAUUUGUUAGCGACACACAUCCUUUCA
rnacentral:lncRNA from 1 species